UACAGAGGUCUCAAGCGUUGUUCGGAUUCAUUGGGCGUAAAGGGUGCGUAGGCGGCGCGGUAAGUCGGGUGUGAAAUCUUGGAGCUUAACUCCGAAACUGCAUUCGAUACUGCCGUGCUUGAGGACUGGAGAGGAGACUGGAAUUUACGGUGUAGCGGUGAAAUGCGUAGAUAUCGUAAGGAAGACCAGUGGCGAAGGCGGGUCUCUGGACAGUAAUUGACGCUGAGGAGCGAAAGCGUGGGGAGCGAACAGG
rnacentral:rRNA from 1 species